rnacentral:rRNA from 1 species
GACGAACGCUGGCGGCGUGCUUAACACAUGCAAGUCGUACGGUAAGGCCCUUUCGGGGGUACACGAGUGGCGAACGGGUGAGUAACACGUGAGUAACCUGCCCACAACUUUGGGAUAACGCUAGGAAACUGGUGCUAAUACUGGAUAUGUGCUCCUGCUGCAUGGUGGGGGUUGGAAAGCUCCGGCGGUUGUGGAUGGACUCGCGGCCUAUCAGCUUGUUGGUGGGGUAGUGGCCUACCAAGGCGGCGACGGGUAGCCGGCCUGAGAGGGUGACCGGCCACAUUGGGACUGUGAUACGGCCCAGACUCCUACGGGAGGCAGCAGUGGGGAAUAUUGCACAAUGGGCGUAAGCCUGAUGCAGCAACGCCGCGUGCGGGAUGACGGCCUUCGGGUUGUAAGCCGCUUUCAGCAGGGACGAAGCUUUUUGUGACGGUACCUGCAGAAGAAGCACCGGCUAACUACGUG